rnacentral:lncRNA from 1 species
CAGCAAUCAUGUCAUUUCUCUUUAAAAAAAAUAAUCUAUUAAUUUCACAGUUACCUGCUGCUGCUGACUAUCAGGCAAUGAAUCAGGCGGAAUCCCACAUCAUGGGAGCUACAGUACACUAGGCUAUAAAGGCUAUUUCUCCUUUCCUGUGGACCACAGCUGUGUGACUGGGUGAAAACUGGGUGAGGUAAAUGCUUCACAAGACCCAAUCUGUAUGCAAAUGACUAUGUUACUCUCCUGACCCAGCUGGGAGAAUAAAACCUGACAACCUGGAAGCUGGUGGGAAGUAGUUUGGAGGUGGGGUUGCUAAAGCUGACGGGAGAGGUGGG